rfam:Gossypium hirsutum cultivar TM-1 chromosome 9, whole genome shotgun sequence
GCAUCAAUUGUCUAAUGGAUAUGACAAAAGUAAUCUAAACUUUUGGUAAAGGUUCAAAUCCUAUUGGACGCA